ACGGCGUAGGAAUUCAUAGGAACGUACCCUCAGGACGGGGAUAGCUACGGGAAACUGUAGGUAAUACCCGAUGAUCUCCGCGGAGCAAAGGUGUGAUUCCGCCUGAGGAGCGGCUUAUGCGAUAUUAGCUAGUUGGUGGGGUAAUGGCCUACCAAGGCGAAGAUGUCUAGGGGGUGUGAGAGCAUGGCCCCCACGACCGGAACUGAGAUACUGUCCGGACACCUACGGGUGGCUGCAGUCGAGAAUCUUCCGCAAUGGACGAAAGUCUGACGGAGCGACGCCGCGUGCGGGAUGAAGGCCCUUGGGUUGUAAACCGCUUUCGGAGGGGAUGAAAUCCUCGAGGGUUCUCCCUCGAGGUUGACAGAGCCUCAAAAGAAGCACGGGCUAAGUACGUGCCAGCAGCCGCGGUAACACGUACUGUGCAAACGUUAUUCGGAAUCACUGGGCUUAAAGGGUGCGUAGGCGGCGAUUCAAGUCAGAUGUGAAAUGCCUGAGCUCAACUGAGGCAUUGCGUUUGAAACUGAAUUGCUAGAGUAUUUCAGGGGUGUGCGGAACUGCCAGUGGAGCGGUGAAAUGUGUUGA
rnacentral:rRNA from 1 species